rnacentral:rRNA from 1 species
GUCUAUGGCCACGCCACCCUGAACAAGCCCGAUGUCUGAUCUCAGAAGCUAAGUAGGGUCGGGCCCGGUUAGUACUUGGAUGGGAGACCACUUAGGAAGACCAGGUGCUGUAGGCA